rnacentral:lncRNA from 1 species
UAAAUGUAUGCAAUAUGCAUGUGUCUUUGUGAGUCUGUUGCUUUAUGUAGAAUGAAUAAAUUGAUUAUGUAAUAAGUCAUGGUUCCAAGAUCUAAUAUUAUUGUGAUGAUAAUUUUUUGCCCAGUUAUUUAUUGUAAGAUGUUGCAAUGGUUCCUCCUAACCACAGGAACUAGAAAUUCCACAUGAUAUACUCUGUCGGAGUCUCGUAGGUAAUUAGAAAUAAUCUUGAUCUACAUAGCAUCGAGUGUUUGAUAAAAAACUACCACUUUAGAGAUAUCUGUCCCACAAAACUACCACUUUUUAAAAAGUGACCAAAUACUAAAAAAAAAUCUUAAUUUUGUGACUAAAAACUACCAGUUUCAGAUAAUGAUGAGUUUAAAUGAUUUAAACACGUUUAUGACAUGAAGGGCCCACUAGUCAAGGCUGACGUGCGGCAAAGUCAACUCCGUUUAUUUUGACCGUCGAGUUGACCAUUAUUAUAGAUGGGGCCACACAUCAGCGCCCUGGUCAGCAUCUACAUUCUUCUUCCUCCCUCUUUUAGGCAUUUCAACGAACAUCUUGUACUACAAAACUACCACUUUUUAAAAAGUGACCAAAUACUACAAAAAUUUCUUAAUUUUGUGACUAAAAACUACCAGUUUCAGAUAAUGACGAGUUUAAAUGAUUUAAACACGUUUAUGACAUGAAGGGCCCACUAGUCAAGGCUGACGUGCGGCAAAGUCAACUCCGUUUAUUUUGACCGUCGAGUUGACCGUUAUUAUAGAUGGGGCCACACAUCAGCGCCCUGGUCAGCGUCUACAUUCUUCUUCCUCCCUCUUUUAGGCAUUUCAACGAACAUCUUGUACUCGAAACAAAAUCAAUCGAUGCUGCCGCUCGCCGAGGACCACCUCCUCGCGCCCCGGUGCAUCGAGUCACGGAUCCACAUCACGCUGCACGAGUAGCAGUAGCAUGCAGCGGGGUGGCAGAUGUGGUAGACCAGCGACCGCCAGACCCAGCAGCGGAAGGCGGUGAAGGUAUGCGCCGAAGCCCCAGGCGUCCUCAAGCACCAUCAUCACCGAGGCGACGCACCACACCGCGCCGACGUGCGCAGCCCCAGCAAAGUGCAUAAUGCCUCCCGGCAGCAGGGCCUCCUGCGUGGAGCCGAGGAGGAGGAGAAAGGCGUGAAGGCAAGUGGUUGUGAGGUGCCCGGCAACCUUGCCCCGGUCCGGACAAGGCGCGCGGUGCUGUGGGAGUCGCCUCAAAAGACGAACAUGACGGACUUGGCGAGGAAUGUGAGGACGGUGGACGUCACGCCCGAUUGAGCGGGCGUCACGGUCGGCGUCACCGUCGCCUGUCGUCGACAUAGAGCGCGAUGACCCGCACACACACCUCGUCCUCCGACAGCAAGCAUGGCGCUCGUGGAGGUGCCUCCGCUGUUGACCAGGAGGCAGGCACAGCGCCAUGCUCGGACUUCCAUCGCGUCUGUGUUGAAUGCGGCCGCGACGGCCUCUUCGUCGCUCACUCUCACGGCCGGCAGUCAGCGCAACUCCAAAGGGCCGACCCAUUUCGUCCGCCUGCGUCCGUUUGGGUCGGCACGGACAAAAGUGGCGGCCUAACGCGCCGACCCAAACCCAAAUCACAUCCGCGUCAUGUCCGCGCCGACGCAUUUGCGGCCCAAAUUUGUGACCCAAAUGCGUCGGCGCGGACACCGAACGGAUGCUUCACGCGCCUUCUCGCUAUCCGCCGCGUCCCCACAUGGCGGCCGUCCAACUACCCGCUGCCCACGCGUUCAGCUUAAUUUAUGAUGACGGGCCCACGCAUCAGUGACGGCGCUCGUCCUUUUUUAUGCCGACCGUGCGGCGGGGCCGUCCUCAUCCAAACUCGCCGUCCACAUCUGCCCACCUUUGCUCCCUCGUCGCCGGCAAACCCUAGCCACCACAACCACAGCGAGAUGGGCCUCUUCUCCGGCGCCAGCGGCAGCAAGGCCAAGGGCAAGUCCCCCGCCACCCCUUACCUCGAGAUGUGGCGCCAGCGCCGGCUGGCAGAGGAGCGUUGUCGCGACGAGUACGAGGAGAUGCUCGAGCACGACCUCGAGGAGGAGCAGCGCGAGGCCGAGGAGGAGGCGCGCCAGGCCGCGGCUGCACAGGCGGCCACACACCCCCCCGGCACUGCCUGCACCGGCACAGCCCGACGUGACGGCACUCUGGAACACGGCGUUCCCCUAGGCCGGGCCGGCGCCGACGCUCAUCAACCUCACGGACCCCGAGGACUACGAUGACGCCUAGGGCAGCGCGCCGCCUCGUAGUUUAGGUUGUUUUUAUUUUUUUUAAAUGCAAAUGCGGGCGCGUGGACUCUCGCCGGCCUUCGUGGCCAACUUUAAUGUUUAAUUAAUGUUGUUUCUCUUUUUUUAAUAUGCAUGCGUUCAUUUUUUGGCGCCGUCAAAAUGGGUCUUGGGCCAGCGUUGGGCGCACGCGCCGACCCAAAUGCGGAAGCUUGCAUCCUUGUCCGUCUGGCUGACCUAAACAGACAAAAAGCGGACGAAAUCGCCGUCCGUUUGGUUCGGCCCAUUGGAGUUGCUCUCAGCUUCGCAUUCUCGACGGUGUCCAUGCUUUGUUCCAUCACGCUGGCACAAACACUGGUGUUCGUUGAAAUGCUUAAGAGAGAGAAAAGAGGAGGAAGAAGAAUGUAGGCGCUCACGUGUGGGCCCUGCCUGUAAUAACGGUCAAUUUGACGGUCAAAUUGAAUUGAGUUGAUUUUGCCGACACGUCAUCCCUGACGAGUGGGUCCCGCAUGUCAUGAACGUGUUUAAAUCGUUUAAAUUCGCAAUUUUCUGAAACUGGUAGUUUCUAGUCACAAAGUUAAGAAAUUUUGGUAGUUUUCGAUCACUUUUUAAAAAGUGGUAGUUUUGUGGGACGGAUACCCCUAAAGUGGUAGUUUUUUGUCAAACACUCACAUACCAUCAGAUCCAAGGGUGUCCGAUGGGUUGUAAAAUAUCACAGGGCUUAUUGGAAAGUAGAAGAGCAAAACAACUCAGUCCUAAUGUGUACUUCCUCCGUUCCUAAAUAUAGGUCUUUCUAGAGAUUUCAACAGGUGACUACAUGCGAUGCAAAAUAAGUGAAUCUAGACUCUGAAAUAUGUCUAUAUACAUUCGUAUAUGGUAGUCCAUUUGAAAUCUCGAAAAAGACUUAUAAUUAGGAAUGGAGGGAGUAAUAUUCUUUAUGAUAUUUGACAUUAACAACCACUAAAAUAAGAAAGGAGAGCAAGGUAUAUUUGAUCUUUCAUUCCCCAUGCAUUUUAAGUUCUACAUGUUAAGGUUGGUCGUAAUGGUAGUAUCAUAGGUAGUUCAAUGUAUGUCAACUAGACAAAUUUGAUGAGGUGGCAUAGAAUUAAAUGAAGAAAAGGAGGGUUCAGUAUCAUAUCAUGAUACCGUAUCAUAUUGAAUGAUGUGCUACUAUGUGUAAUGCAUGGCAAUAAAUGAUGUUAGCUAUGAUACUGACAUAUAAUAGUAUCAUACACUAGUAUCAUAUGCAUUAUACUAAUAUAUGAUACUCGCCAUUACGGCCAGCCUAAUAAAUGCCUAGACUCUUAUUUGGUUGAUUUGCAGAAUGUUCUCUAGAAAUAACCACAGCAUUUCUCUAAAAAAGAUAACAUUGCUGAAAAUCAUGGAAAAAACAUCAGCAAUCUUUGUUCUUUUAGGGGAUCAGCUAUAUUUGACGGCAUGCAUAAAGUAAGUAUAUUCCAAUAUUCAGUGAGCAAAUCCCCAAGUAGUAAUUGCUGGAAUUUAGUUUACUGGAAUUUAGUUUAUUUUGGGCAGCCCAAUAACUAUUUCAGAAAUUCCUAAUAAAUCCUAGAGGCCCACUUAGCCCAUUUGUGCAAGGCAAGGGAUACUACUAAAGUUUAGUCCCACAUUGCUAGUUUAGUGGGAGUAGGACCUCCUUAUAAGGGAGGUUCUUUCCUCACUUGUACGAGCAUGAGAACAGGAGGGAUAUCCACGCGCGCUCCUCCGCCGCCGCCCGCCUCGCCACGCCUCGCCACGAGCCGCGCCGCGGGUUGCGGGAAUGAGCCGAGCCGAUAUCUAAAUUUUUGCCACGCACUAUGGGUAUAUGAAAGGUCACACGGAAGCUGAAAAGAUUUUUGCGAAAGUGGAGUUCGAAUGCGAACGGUGCAGCCCUUCGGCUGCUGGCUGUUCGCUUCGCCUCCGUCUCUUCGUUUCGCCUUCCGUCGCUGCCCUCUCGCCUCCUUCUCUUGCGCCUAUAAAAGGGAGGUCGCUCCUCCCAGAGAGACGCACCAGAACUUCUCCUUCCUCUCGCCAUCGGUUCCAUCUUGGAGUUGUUGCUGUCUUCCUCAUCCCGGCUUGCGGCGUGCACCGCACAUCGGGACAAUAGGCCUCCGAAACCGCACCUCUUUGAGUCCUCUACGGGAGAAGGGUGAUAAGGUUUUUGGGGAGCUCUCUGCGCGACUACUGACUGACUCCUUCGUCACCGACGCCCGGAAUCCGACGACUACUUCCCCGACGUCGACAACCUCCUCGACGACAUGGCUGGCGCGGACACCGACCCCAAGUCCAGUGCUACUGCUGCUGCUGUCCCGUAUGUGUUCUUCUUUUUGUUAGAUGUCCUGCCACAGUUUCUCGUACUAGUACUUGCUCUAGAUAUGUUAGGUUCUACUUCAUAUAUGCAACUAGUUCUACUGUCUGCUAUAGAUAUGCUAGGCUACGGUUCAUAUAUGCAGAAGCUAUUUACCUUCUCUCUGUCAGAAAGCAUGACUUGUUUUAUCUCUAUUAUAUUAGUCAUGCUUUAUCUAGUAUUUCUGUUAAUAAAAUCAUUUGGUAAAUUGCUCUUAUUUCCAACAAUCCAAAAACCUUAUAAUAGGCAAUUUACCACAAGUGGUUUUGCUGCUUGCAUGAGACCUCCUACGUUUGAGGGUAUCAACUAUAAGAGGUGGCGCAUGAGAGCAGUCUUAUGGUUUCAAACCAUGAGUUGCUAUGACGCCACUCUCGGCAAACCUGAAGGGGAGCUUGAUGCUCAACAGGCACAAGCCUUUCAGAAAAUGGAUACCUUGUUUAAGGCUGCUCUCUUGAGUGUUCUUGGUGAGAACAUAGUUGAUGCUUAUGCAUGAAUUGAUAAUGGAAAAGAUAUGUGGAAUGCACUCGAGGCCAAGUUUGGGGUCUCGGAUGUUGGCACUGAGCUGUACAUCAUGGAGCAAUUCUAUGAUUUCAGGAUGACUGAAGAGCGCUCCGUGGUUGAGCAAGCUCAUGAGAUACAGUCAUUUGUUAGAGAACUUGAGCACUUCGGUUGUAUACUACCGGACAAGUUUGUUGCCGGAGGUAUCAUCACUAAGCUUCCUCCUUCAUGGAGGAACUUUGCUACCUUGCUGAAGCAUAAGAGGCAGGAGUUUUCUGUCCCGGAUCUCAUUAGCACUCUUGAUGUGGAAGAAAAGGCGAGAGCAAAGGACACACGUGCUCGAGGUAUUGAGGGAGGAUCUAGUGCCAAUGUGGUACAGAAGCAGAACUUCUAGCCCCACAAGUUCAAGAACAAGGGCAAGUUUGAUGGUAAAGCAAAGUUUGAUGGGAAGAACAAGGCUGUCCAGCACAAGAACUUCAAGAAGAAGAAUGACAAGAAGAAAGGUAUCUGUCAUGUGUGUGGGGAUCCUGAUCAUUGGGCUCCUAGUUGCUCUAAUCGCUAUGACAAGCGUCAUCCUGGGAAAGGUAGCAAGACCGCUAAUGUUGUCAUUGGAGACACUGACAUGAAGGAUGCUGGGUAUGGUAUAUUUCCCACUAUUCUUUCAGUAUGCCAUUCUCCUGAUUGGUUGAUUGACACGGGUGCUAAUGUGCAUGUAUGCGGUGAUAUUUCCAUGUUUUCGUCUUAUCAGACCGCAGGGACUUCAACCGUGCUGAUGGGCAAUGGUUCAAGUGCUUCUGUUCAUGGUGUUGGCAUGGUCGAUCUGAAGUUUACUUCAGGGAAGAUCGUGCGGCUGAAGAACGUGCAUUAUGUCCCCGCCGUCAAUAAAAAUCUUGUUAGCGGAUCUCUUCUGUGUAGAGAUGGCUACAAGCUUGUCUUUGAGUCGAAUAAAUUUGUAAUAUCCAAGUAUGGAACCUUGGUUGGUAAAGGCUAUGAGUCAGGAGGCCUGUUUCGUUUAUCCUUAUCAGACGUUUGCAAUAAAGUUGUUAAUCAUAUUUGCAACAAUAGUGAAUCAAUUGUGUGGCAUUCACGUCUUUGUCAUGUUAACUUUGGUUGCAUGUCGCGACUAGUGAAGUUGAACUUAAUCCCUAGUUUCACCAUUGUCAAGGGAUCUAAGUGGUAAGUGUGUGUGCAAGCUAAGCAACCUCGUAAGUCUCACACGACUAUGGAAACGAGAAAUCUUGCACCACUAGAGCUCAUACAUUCAGAUCUAUGUGCAAUGAAUGGUGUUUUGACAACAGAUGGAAAGAAAUAUUUCAUGAUGUUAAUUGAUGACUCCACUAGAUACUGUCAUGUGUAUCUUCUGAAGUCUAAGGAUGAGGCUUUUAACUUUUUCAAGAUCUAUAAAGCUGAAGUGGAAAACCAACUUGAUCGAAAAAUCAAGAGGCUUAGGUCCGAUUGUGGUGGAGAGUAUUUUUCCAAUGAAUUUGAUGCUUUUUGUGUGGAACAUGGUAUAAUCCAUGAGAGUACACCUCCCUAUUCACCUCAGUCAAAUGGGGUGGCCGAAAGAAAGAACCGUACUCUAACAGAUUUGGUUAACGCCAUGUUAGACACUUCGGGUCUCUCCAAGGCAUGGUGGGGGGAGGUGAUAUUGACUGCAUGUCAUGUCCUAAACCGAGUUCCCACAAAGAACAAAGAGAUAACUCCAUUCGAGGAAUGGGAGAAGAAAAGGUUAAAACUCUCUUAUCUACGAACAUGGGGUUGUUUGGCGAAAGUCAAUGUUCCAAUUCCAAACGAGCGGAAGCUUGGACCAAAGACUGUGGAUUGUGUUUUCCUAGGAUAUGCUUUUCAUAGCGUUGGCUAUAGAUUCUUGGUUGUAAAAUCUGAGGUACCUGACAUACAUGUCGGUACGAUCAUGGAGUCGAAUGAUGCAACUUUCUUUGAAGAUAUCUUUCCCAUGAAGGAUAUGGCUACCUCAUCUAAUCAUGAGAUGCCUAGUUCAUCGAAUGAGGAAUCAGUUACAAUUACCGAACCUGCCAUUUCGAUGGAACAAUUUGAAAGUCAUGUGGAGGAGAAUAAUGAAGUUCCUAUUAGGAGCAAGAGACAGAGGACUGCAAAGUCCUUUGGUGAUGAUUUUCUUGUGUAUCUCAUAGAUGACACUCCCAGUUCUAUUUCAGAGGCUUAUGCAUCUGAAGAUGCUGACUACUGGAAGGAAGCGGUUCGUAGCGAGAUGGAUUCCAUCUUAGCGAAUGAAACUUGGGAGAUAACUAAUCAUCCUUAUGGGUGCAAACCUAUACGAAGCAAAUGGGUAUUCAAGAAGAAGCUUAGUCCUGAUGGUACUAUUGAAAAGUACAAGGCUCGUCUCGUGGCUAAGGGUUAUACCCAAAAGGAAGGUGAAGACUUCUUUGAUACUUACUCACUUGUGGCUUGACUGACCACUAUUCGAGUUCUCCUUUCACUAGCUGCCUCACAUGGUCUUCUCGUUCAUCAAAUGGAUGUUAAGACUGCUUUUCUAAAUGGAGAGUUGGACGAGGAAAUUUAUAUGGAACAACCAGAUGGGUUUGUACUAGAUGGUCAGGAAGGAAAAGUGUGCAAGUUGCUGAAGUCUUUGUAUGGACUCAAGCAAGCACCCAAACAGUGGCAUGAGAAGUUUGAAAGAACUUUAACAGCCGCAGGCUUUGUUGUAAGCGAACCUGACAAAUGUGUGUACUAUCGCCAUGGUGGGGGCGAGGGAGUUAUCCUUUGCUUGUAUGUUGAUGACAUAUUGAUUUUUGGAACAAAUCUAAAUGUUAUUAAGGAGGUCAAGAAUUUCCUAUCUCGCUGUUUUGAGAUGAAGGAUUUAGGAGUGGCUGAUGUCAUUCUGAACAGUAAGUUGUUGAGAGACGAUGAUGGUGGGAUUACAUUGCUUCAAUCUCACUAUGUGGAAAAGAUCUUGAGUCGCUUUGGCUAUAGUGACUGCAAGCCCUCUCCAACACCAUAUGAUGUGAGUGUGUUACUUCGAAAGAAUCGAAGAAUUGCUAGAGAUCAAUUGAAAUAUUCUCAGAUUAUUGGCUCGCUUAUGUACUUAGCAAGUGCUACAAGACCUGGCAUCUCUUUUGCUGUUAGCAAACUGAGUCGGUUUGUCUCAAAACCAGGAGAUGUGCAUUGGAAAGCUCUAGAGAGAGUUUUGCGUUAUUUGAAAGGCACUGCAAAUUAUGGAAUUUACUACACCGGGCAUCCAAAGGUGCUUGAAGGGUAUAGUUGUUGGGGAACACAGUAAUUUCAAAAAAAAUCCUAAGCACACGCAAGAUCAUGAUGAUGCAUAGCAACGAGAGGGGAGAGUGUUGUCUACGUACCUACACAGACCGACUGCGGAAGCGUUGACGCAACUUAGAGGAAGUAGUCGUACGUCUUCUCGAUCCGACCGAUCCAAGCACCGUUACUCCGGCACCUCCGAGUUCUUAGCACACGUACAGCUCGAUGACGAUCCCCGGGCUCCGAUCCAGCAAAGCGUCGGGGAGGAGUUCCGUCAGCACGACGGCGUGGUGACGAUCUUGAUGUUCUACCGUCGCAGGGCUUCGCCUAAGCACCGCUACAAUAUGAUCGAGGUGGAAUAUGGUGGCAGGGGGCACCGCACACGGCUAAGGAACGAUCUCAAGGAUCAACUUGUGUGCCCUAGGGUGCUCCCCUGCCUCCGUAUAUAAAGGAGCCAAGGGGGAGGGGACAGCCGGCCAAGGAGGGCGCGCCAAGGGAGUCCUACUCCCUCUGGGAGUAGGAUUCCCCCCCCCCCCCAAUCCUAGUUGGAAUAGGAUUCCUUGAGGGGGGAAAGAGAGAGAGGGGGCCGGCCACCUCUCCUUGUCCUAAUAGGACUAGGGGAGGGGGGAGGCGUGCAGCCCACCUUGGGCUGCCCCUUUCUCCUUUCCACUAAAGCCCACUAAGGCCCAUAUAGCUCCCGGGGGGUUCCGGUAACCUCCCGGUACUCCGGUAAAAUCCCGAUUUCACCCGGAACACUUCCGAUAUCCAAACAUAGGCUUCCAAUAUAUCAAUCUUUAUGUCUCGACCAUUUCGAGACUCCUUGUCAUGUCCGUGAUCACAUCCGGGACUCCGAACUAACUUCGGUACAUCAAAAAUGCAUAAACUCAUAAUAACUGUCAUCGUAACGUUAAGCGUGCGGACCCUACGGUUCGAGAAUAAUGCAGACAUGACUGAGACACAUCUCCGGUCAAUAACCAAUAGCGGGACCUGGAUGCCCAUAUUGGCUCCUACAUAUUCUACGAAGAUCUUUAUCGGUCAGACCGCAUAACAACAUACGUUGUUCCCUUUGUCACCGGUAUGUUACUUGCCCGAGAUUCGAUCGUCGGUAUCCAAUACCUAGUUCAAUCUCGUUACCGGCAAGUCUCUUUACUCGUUCCGUAAUACAUCAUCUCGCAACUAACUCAUUGGCUGCAAUGCUUGCAAGGCUUAUGUGAUGUGCAUUACCGAGAGGGCCCGGAGAUACCUCUCCGACAAUCAGAGUGACAAAUCCUAAUCUCGAAAUACGCCAACCCAACAUCUACCUUUGGAGACACCUGUAGAGCUUCUUUAUAAUCACCCGGUUACGUUGUGACGUUUGGUAGCACACAAAGUGUUCCUCCGGUAAACGGGAGUUUCAUAAUCUCAUAGUCAUAGGAACAUGUAUAAGUCAUGAAGAAAGCAAUAGCAACAUACUAAACGAUUGGGUGCUAAGCUAAUGAAAUGGGUCAUGUCAAUAAGAUCAUUCAACUAAUGAUGUGACCUCGUUAAUCAAAUAACAACACCUUGUUCAUGGUUAGGAAACAUAACCAUCUUUGAUUAACGAGCUAGUCAAGUAGAGGCAUACUAGUGACACUAAGUUUGUCUAUGUAUUCACACAUGUAUUAUAUUUCUGGUUAAUACAAUUCUAGCAUGAAUAAUAAACAUUUAUCAUGAUAUAAGGAAAUAAAUAAUAACUUUAUUAUUGCCUCUAGGGCAUAUUUCCUUCAAUAGUGACUCAAACUGGAUCUCAGAUGCUGAUGAGAUAAAGGCCACGAGCGGUUAUGUAUUCACUCAUGGAGGUGGCGCUGUUUCUUGGAAGUCUUGCAAGCAGACCAUCUUAAUGAGGUAAACAAUGGAAGCAGAACUCACAACACUAGAUACAGCUACGGUUGAAGCAGAUUGGCUUCGUCGGCUCUUGAAUGACUUGCCGGUUGUUGAGAAACCUGUACCGGGUGUCCUUAUGAACUGCGACAAUCAAACUGUGAUCACGAAAGUGAGCAGCUCAAAGGAUAACAUGAAGUCAUCAAGACACGUUCAGAGAAGGUUAAAGUCUGUCAGGAAAAUGAAAAACUCCGGAGUUAUUGCGUUGGAUUAUAUCCAAAUGUCUAAAAAUCUGGCAGAUCCUUUUACUAAGGGUCUAUCACGUAAUGUGAUAGAUAAUGCAUCGAGGGAGAUGGGUAUGAGACCCACAAUAUGAGUUGUUCAUAGUGGUAACCUAUUCUUUGUGAUUGGAGAUCCCAUGAAUUAGAUGUGGAAGACAAGUUGUUGGUCAACUGAGAGGAGAGUAUCCUUACUAUUCACAAUACCACUCCAUGAAGAUGCAAUACUCUCCUAAUCUGCAUGGCAGGUUGAUGUAUACCUUAAUGUGUUCUAAGUGGCUUAUUUAAGCAGAGAUGUUAUCCUGCAGAACAUCUUUUGAAGAACACACCUAUAUGAGUCUAAUUGUCAAACGUCGCAAUCUAUGAGAGUAGGGUUCUCUCUAGUAAACUCAUGAAAGGUCACGGAGUAUGACGCAUAAGCUCCAGCCGCGGGGAAGACCCACGGUAGCCACGUAUCGGUCAAGGCUUUAUGUGAAGCUAGAUUCGCAGAAAACUUGCACUUCAAGGCCCAGUCCACUGUACAAGUUGCUUACUAGUAUAGCAUAGAGUUCUAGGUGAAAGUUCAACUUAACAGUCUCCACUACAGUACCGGUAUAUAAAACAGUGCUUUGGAACCAAAGGCAAAUUUUUGUGUGCCUCUGGGAUCUGGUGGGGGAUUGCUGGAAUUUAGUUUAUUUUGGGCAGCCCAAUAACUAUUUCAGAAAUUCCUAAUAAAUCCUAGAGGCCCACUUAGCCCAUUUGUGCAAGGCAAGGGAUACUACAAAAGUUUAGUCCCACAUUGUUAGUUUAGUGGGAGUUGGACCUCCUUAUAAGGGAGGUUCUUUCCCCACUUGUACAAGCAUGAGAACAAGAGGGAUAUCCACGCGCGCUCCUCCUCCGUCGCCCGCCUUGCCAUGCCACGCCACGCCACGCCACGCCAUGACACGCCUCGUCAUGACGCGCCGCGCCACGGGUUGCGGGAAUGAGCCGAGCCGAUAUCUAAAUUUUUGCCAUGCACUACGGGUAUACGAAAGGUCACACGGAAGCUGAAAAGAUUUUUGUGAAAGUGGAGUUCGAAUGCGAACGGCGCAGCCCUUUGGCUGCUGGCUGUUCGCUUUGCCUCCGUAUCUUCGUUUCGCCUUCCGUCAUUGCCCUCUCGCCUCCUUCUCUUGCGCCUAUAAAAGGGAGGUCGCUCCUCCCAGAGAGACGCACCAGAACUUCUCCUUCCUCUCACCAUCGGUUCCAUCUCGGAGCUGCUGCUGUCUUCCUCAUCCCGGCUUGCGGCGUGCACCGCACGUUGGGACAGUAGGCCUCCGAAACCGCACCUCUUUGAGUCCUGUAUGGGAGAAGGGUGAUAAGGUUUUUGGGGAGCGCUCUGCGCGACUACUGACUGACUCCUUCAUCCUUGACGCCCUGGACUCCGACGACUACUUCCCCGACGUCGACAACCUCCACGACAACAUGGCUGGCGAGGACACCGACCCCAAGUCCAGUGCUACUACUGCUGCUGUCCCGUACGUGUUCUUCUUUCUGUUAGAUGUCCUGCCAUAGUUUCUCGUACUAGUACUUGCUCUAGAUAUGUUAGGUUCUACUUCAUAUAUGCAACUAGUUCUACUGUCUGCUAUAGAUAUGCUAGGCUACAGUUCAUAUAUGCAGAAGCUAUUUACCUUCUCUUUGUCAGAAAGCAUGACUUGUUUUAUCUCUAUUAUAUUAGUCACACUUUAUCUAGUAUUUAUGUUAAUAAAAUCAUUUGGUAAAUUGCUCAUAUUUCCAACAGUAAUUCCCAUUCAGCAACAUGGACGAUAAUAAUAUUUUCUUGUGAUCCGUAACAAAAGUUCAAAAUUAGCCAAAAUACUGAAGGGGGAUGUCCCGGUAGCUACACCAACUUUCUAUGGCCAGAAUCGGUGGAAUCGGAUGCGGCGGCCCAAGAUUUGGUAGCUGACAUCCCGGACUGCAGGGUGGUGGCGGGGCUGAGAACGGCCGAUUGUGUCGGGGCGGCGGCAUGCGCUGCGACAGUCGGUCAGAGUAGGUGUGGCGACCGUCGGCGGUGGGGUAGUCUCAUCACGAGUGGUUGGGUUCCUGCUGCAUUGUUUUUGGUUUCAGCGCAGCUGCUAGAUAUGUGUAACAAAAUUUUGGGUAACUUUCUUUUGCAACAUAUGGGUAUAUAGGGCAUCUUUUGGACACUUUUUGUUUGCCCAAAGUGACCUAACUGACAACUUUUUUGACACAACGGCUGUUUUAAAGAAAGCAUAUUAAGCUGAGUGUGCAGACCACCUAGCAAAGGCUGAUUUCACCUCGACGGGUUUGACACUCAGCGUAACGCACUCAGGGUACAUCAUGUCGGUCGGCAUACCAACGUAAACCGAGUGCCUUUCGUCCACUAGUAGAGAAAUGACAGAACAAAACAUCGUAGGGUGUGCGAUGGGUUGUCCGAUUGUGAAUUAUGUCUGGUGCUAUGUUUGCUUGUAAAAAAUGAGUAAUUGUAUAAUGUAGCACUUAUUUUAGACCUAGUCGAGCCCAUUCAUCGCACACGGUUUUGAAAGAGUGUGCAUUGGCACCCCAAUCGCCAACCCAUCCGAGCACACGAUUGUUAAUUAUAACCGUAUGUGAUGGACCCUUCCUAUUGCACAUAGUUUGUAUGUUCUAACUGUGUGUGAUGGACUCAAUAUCGCAUACAAUUUUUAUGCUCUAACCGCAGCCUAGGCUCGAGAUUAACCCAACGCGAUGGUUGAUGAACUAUGAGCAGGCCCUUCUACUAUGUUAGUGAUCACUAGUUUAAAUAGGCAUUAUACUUCUCUCUUAUCUCCUGGCUGGGAUUUGGAUGAUGGCAUCAGGCGGUGUAAUCGUGUAGCUAUGAUGGUGGACGGGCGACUAGUUAACAAACCAAUUUCCGCAAUUUCAAAUUCUAAUCCCUAGCAAUUCCUCUUAAUCAAGUGAGUUUCUCACGGUUGGUAUAAGAUUCAGUGGUCCUAGAGUUGCUGCGACACCAUCACUGGAUGCGGUGGCGUGAUCGGCGAUGAGCGGAGGCGAUGGACAAGUCAUCUGAGGAAGGGUGCAGCAUGUACGCGCUUCAACGAGCAUAUUGCACCGUAGGUCUGGACCGGCUCUUCAAGGAUCACGAUGAGAACCUCCUUCAAGCGGUCGACAAUCUCAUCCAAUCCAACACUGCCACGCUCGAUGGCUUGCUUUCGGCUCAUGACCCAACAAUUAUAAUAGUAUGGAACAAUAAAAAAUUAUAAAUACGUUGGAGCUCCGACGGUGUUGGCAAGAUCUUCAACGGCAUCUUCAUGGGAAUGUGUGCGAGGAGGCACAUCGAAAGACAUUCCGCCCAUGGCGGCCGGAGGUGCAUCCAUGCCUCCCAUGAGAGAAGCAAAACUCAUACCUCCCAUGGUGGCCAUACCGGGACCUAAGUGAUCGGUCGGAGCGGUCAAUUCCACUCACGUUGCGAACAUCAAAGUGUUCCUUCAUCCGAAGCCAAUAAGCAUCUCUACUUUGAUCACCUCCAACGGAUGGAUCCCUCGACACUUGCAACCAAGUAUUGCAUAGUAAGAUGUCAUCGGCGUUGCUGUAAUUGCCCGCUCUUCCUUUCGGUGCGUCGACAACGCUCUCACCCUCCUCGUCCACCUCAAACUCAUGGUUUUUGAAAUGCAUGUCAUUGGUUUGAGACCAAUGUGAAUUGUUGGAGCCAACACCCAUCGUUGACAUGUAUGCAUCAUCAUUGAGACUACAAAGUUUUUUGAACAAUGCAAAUAAGCUGUCUAUAUGUGAAUGCAUUCAAAAAAUAACAAAAAAUGAAAAGUUCGAUUUUUUUUACCUUGGAGGCAUUUCGUCGAACAUAUUGUGCGCGCCGGUCGCCGGCUCAACGAGUGAGCUCGCCGGCGCUUCGGUAGCCGCCACGCCCGUCGCACGCCCCGCAAGCUUCUUCCUCCUCGCCUUGGAGGUGCCGGAGCCGUCCACCGCCUUGUUUUUCUUCGCCGAUGUCUUGCCCUUCUUUGGCCGCGCCGCAUUGGGGAGCUUUGAGGAGGAGGGGCGGCCGCUCGGGCCAGCGCCGGCGCGACGCCUCCCACCGCCGAGGUCAUCCGCGGCGGCAUGAAGAGGCCGCGCGCGAGGCCGAUGGUCGGAGGAGCUCCGGCGGAGGCGAGGCCAACGCCACCCAGGCUAGGGUUUGUGGCGGUGGCGGCGGGGGGUCGCGCGAAUAGGACAUGGUGAGCGGGGUGCCGGCACGUGCUCCAUGGGGUGCGGGUGCCAGCGCCGAGGCGCGCGGGGCUUUGGAGGGGGAGAAGACAAAGCACAACGCGAGCGCUCGAGUGUGCCGCGUGCGAAAGCGGGCGCCGCAAAUACACCGUGCGAGGUAGCGCUUCCUGCCGCGUGCCCAACUCCUCAUACCGCGCGAGCUAUUAUUGCGGGCCCACUGGAGCCAUCCGCCGGGUUGCGCGUGCUAAACUGGGUAUAUUUACGGCGCGGCACCUGUUUAGCGCGCCUGUUGGAGAUGCUCUUACAAAUCCACAAGUUCAAUGAUCCAAACAACAAAGUUAAAAGCAAAAGAUACAAGCCUACAGGCAGAAUCACAGCGACGCAGUGCUGACAAGCCAACAACAAGAAGGAAAUGGGCUAUCGAGGUAGCGAGGGGCGGUGAUGAGCCGGUGAUGUCCCCUACGGUGGUCGGCGCAUCUCAGUGCACCUUGCUCGCACCUUUGUUACGAGCUCCUGCACGCGUCCUCUGUCUUGUGGUUUUGCUAGUAGCUUCCAAAGCUGCAAGAAAGACACCAUUUUGUAUAGAAGAUCAGCUGGAUGCUUGAUAAAAUGAACAUACAAAAUGAAGGUGGUUAUUCAUACGAAACUGCCUGUGGCAAGAAGGGAAUAGAAAGCUGGACGAAAUCACAUGUGUUGUCCAUGAUAUUGGAGGCGGUUUGCACAAGCCGACUUCGUGCAGAGUAUUAACGAAUCAGGCUUUGAGGAGGAAAUGAAACUAGUGUUGUAAUAUAUUCCAAAAAUAUUUGGUUCCAGGAAACAUUUGAAUUAAUAGUAUAUGAGAAAAACAUAAAAACAUAUUAUAUAAUUGUAUAGUUGAAAAAUAUUUGUCCAAUAUAGGUAGUAAAAUAAUAUAAUGGUUUUUUCCCAUGCAUGUUGGGUGGGACUUCGAUGAGGUGGCAUAUGUGCAUGGCUUAUAUGUGUAUGUUGAAAUAAAUAGAAGUAAUGAGGGUCAAUCCAUAAUAAAAAAAUAAUUCUCAUGCAUAUUGUGUUGGAUCGUUGAUGAUGUGACAUGUGUGCAUGUUAAGAUAAUAGAAAUAACGAGGAUAAACUAUUUAGGUAUGUAGGAUAUGUUUUCAAUCUCAUUUUAUGGUACGUAUUGAUUAUGCAGAUUUGAUGAACAUUUUGGCAAAACCAUUAACUAUAGAAUGUUCUAGGCCAGAAAUAAAUAUGAUUUAAUGGGAUGAUAUAUUUAGCAUAUUUGAUGAGGCAGUUAAUGGAAUGGCAAUUAGGAACAAAAUAAAUGAAAUUAAAGUACGAUUGACUUUGAUUUCGUUGGGCGGCAUAUAUAAUACGUGGUCAGGGCUUUGGCUCUAGGUCAAGAAGACCUUGGCAAACACUCAACCGUGACCACCACCAAUGCCCUAGCCUACUUCAUGUACCUCGUGAACAAAGUCAUCACAGAGUACUUGGACAAUUUGGGUGUCUUCAUUAUAUGAUGACAUAAUUGUCUACCCGAAGACAGAAGAAGAGACAUUCAGUUGGUUAAGGGACAUCUGAAGACCGCCAUGUCAAGGGGGGAUAACUAAACCAGCUGCCAUCGUCAAAAAGUAAACUCCCGCGUCGAAGACCAUGUGUACCAACGGGUCACUCUCAGAAGAACCAAGCAUUUCCAUGACAAGGAAACCCACACCAAGAUUAAACAACCCCCUCUGAGAUCACUACGAGACGAAGAGAAGACAAUUACCAGCUAGAGUUUCCACCUGAGUUACCUGAUGUGCACAAUGUUUUCCAUGCAUCACAACCCUAGAAGUGUUUCCAACUUCCUGAUAAGCCCGAUCUCUACAAGGACAUCGAUCACCAAGCCACCGACCUCCAGCCCGAUCUAACCUACUUCAAGAAACCCAUUAGCAACCUAGAUCAAGCAGACCGUCAUACACGAAGCCACAUCAUCAAGUACUUCAAGGGUUAAUGGAGCACCACUCGGAAGCAGAAGCAGUAUGAGGACGUGAAGACUACCCCGGAUCCAAGUUUCCGUAUUCCUUUCCACGCCUAGUUUGGGAAUCUCGGGGACGAGAUUCUUGUAAGGGGGGUAGGUCUAUCACACCCUGAUUUUCAAGCCACACCACUUAAGCUAAUCAAUCAUGAUAAAUUGUGGUUUGACAAAAACUUUUGAAUGUUUGGUCUUUGCUUGAUUUGAUUUGUGUCUACUGUUUGCAAGUGCUCUAAAAAUCAAAUAAAUCCUCCAACUCUUAUACCCCUUCUCCUUGAUCCAAAACCUUGCCCAAUUAUCAUGCCAUGUGUAUAGGAUAGAAUAGUAUUUUCUUACAAAAAUAUUUUGGCCAAAAAGUAUUUUCUAAGUUAGGUUUUCCAAAAACCCCUAAAUUGAGCUUGAACUACAAGUACUUAAUUAAGGGUGUGAAAAAUCUUUCAAAAAAUAUAUUUGAAUCCUAUUCGAUAUAUGACACCCAGAAACUAGAAAAAUAUAAUUUUAAAAGUUAUUUUCCUAUUUUAUUUAGAGGAUUUUUCUUAAGGGCAGAAAUGGUCUUUAAUAGAUUAAAAUUAUUUUAAUGUUUCAAAAAUAUUUGAGAAAAUUUAGGGAGACUCAAUGGGCAUAUAGUGUCCAUAUAUAUAUGACUUUCAACACAUGGUCAUGAACAAAAUAUUGGUCAAAUCCCUCAGAAACCCUUCCUGGACAUUUCAAGCUUUUGAAAUAUUUACAUAGGAAAUAUUAUCUAUUAAAUCCCAGAAUUAUACCAUGUCAUAAAUGACCUACUUGAGGAUCCUACAGAUUAUCAUGUCAUGGGGGACAGCAUAGCACCACCAAACAUGUACAAGUGCUCUAAAACUUGGUGCACAUUCUCAAAUGGUGUAAUAAUGCAUCUAUGCCAAAUGGCACAAGUUGGAGAGAAUGAUAUCAUGAUCAAAGUGUUCUAAAACCCUUUCUGUCUAGAACCAAAUUUGAACAACUCUACAUUGCCAGGUGUGUCCUUUUCAUCUGAAUUUUUGUGGACAUGUUCAAAUCCUCAAAUUAGGACACUAAACCAAGUGGUGCAUCAAGGAGAAUAGAUUUGCAUGACUAAAUCCUGGAAAAGCCAUUUCUGUUGAUUUCUAGGGUUUACAAAAGUUGCAUUGGAAACUUUGCCCAAAUGAGCUCAAAAUUGGUGGAAGGGCCUAAUUAUAUGUGCCGUUUCACCCUAUGGAGUCUCAUGUCUAUUGGAAUCCACUUGUUUGUCCAAAACAACAUCAAGCACCUUCUGGCACUUUGCCAAAACUACCAUUUGGACCACUUUCACUAUUCCCCUCUACCUCAAAUUUUUACCACAACUUAUUCUAACCCUAUUCUACCUCUAGUAAGUCUUUCCCACUCCCAUAUCAAUCAUGGAGUAGGGUAAAACCCUACUUUCUCUCUCUCUCUCUCUAUCAACCCCACCUCUCUCCUAGUGGUUCACCAUGGCAUCCAAGGCCACCUCCCCUUUGUUUACUCACCGCAAAAAGCCCCAAACACUAGUGGACACGCCCCUGGCACAUAAACAAUGCCAUGGCGUGUAGCGCUCACGCUCUGGAGCAUGCUAUAGUGCUCUCCGGCACUGUAGCACGCCCAUUCCAGGGCCUCCGGUCGACCUUGGUGCCGGAAUCGUGUCCCCGGAGGCCGCCUCGGCGUCCACGACACGCAACACUCUCGGACCCUUCCUCCCUCGCCCUCCUUCUCCCUCCAUGAGCUCACCUGAGCACGUCCAUGGACGCUGCCCAUGAUGCACUGCGGCCUCGCCCAUUUUAAGCCACCCCGACCCUCUCUCUCGCCUCGGUUCGAACCUCCUCUCUCCCGUGCACCUCUCGGACACCCCCUUUCUCCCCCAUGUGCCCUCCUGCCCCCUCCAAGGCCGGGUCGCCGCCGCCAUGCCCCCGGACCAACCCAGCCCCCCAUUGCUUCCCCGCUCCCACUGAACGCUCGAGAGGACACCCACGACACCAAGGAGCCUCCCCCGCGCACCAGGACCUCCUCCCCGUGCUUGCCUGCCCCGCUGUGCCGAACCUCGCUGACGGCUUCCUCCACGGCCACCCGAGCCAUCGGCGCAACAGCCCUCCUCGGCGUGCGUGAAGCACAUGGAUGGGUGCGGCGUGGCUUCCUGAGCACAGUGGUGGGCGGAGUGUCACCGUAAAUGCUCUGUAGCCCCGGCAAUCGCCGGCGGGAUCCGCUCAUCCCCGCGGCCAGAGCACGUGCGGGAGGUGGAAUAAGACCUGCCGCUCGGGCCCGCACGUCAGCGACCCAGCACGCGGGCCUGUCCGUUUAAGUGGAUACGGCUCCAGCGGAUCCGCUUCCCCGCGCGGAAGCGUACUGCGCAAAGGCGCCUUCGACACCGCCCUGUCGUCCACGUGGCCGAGCCGCUGGGCUGGCCCAGUGCGCUGCGACGCUAUUCUGCGCUCGGUGCACGGUAUAGGUAUGACCCCCACUUCCAUUGUCUUUUUCUUUUUCCAGAAAUUUGUAAAAUCUCCCAAAUAUUCAUAUUAACUCCAAAUUGAAUGAUUCAAAUUUCUUGUGACUUCAUAAAUCAUGCUCUACCUGUUGGUGCAGCAUGCACAUUUUCCAGAACACCUCUCUUCACACAAAUCCAAUAAAACCCCAUCUCCCAAUUCUGCGAUGAACUUUAGAAAAUCACAGAGAGCUCACAAUUUAUCCAAAUGCCAUGAUUCAAAAUCCUAUAAACUUCCAAGUUCAUAACUUAGUUUUUCAACAUUUUUCCUAAUACUUUCUAUGCCACAUGAAAUAAUGAGCCAUUUCCUCAUAUUAGCCAGCUGUGCAAAUUCAUUUGAACUCCAAAACCAGUGAAACCAACUCCUAUAUGCUUCUAAAAUUAUUCCUUGUUAAAUGGAUGCCUUUGAUCAUUUUUCAAAUAGUUCUUCUGUACACUUCUUACAAAUCCAUAAACCCCUUGAUUCCAUCAUAUCGAAAUGUUUAGAAAUAUCCAUUGAUCCACUUCCAAUGAAAUCACCUAGGUCAUUCCUCAUAUGACAAUAGGUAUCCUAGAAAAGUCCAACUCACAUUUUUAGAGCACUUUUAUUUUUGCCUUGUUGUGUUGCUUAUUGUGAUUGUUUCCGUCGUUAGUUGGCGAAGUAGACGGAGUACUUGGAGAUGGACCAGAAGGUUUGAAGACCUUGAAGGACAAGGCAAGCAGCCCUUUGACCAUAUCUAAGAAACCCUUUUAUGCAUGUCAUAUGGCACUAUCAUUGAUUGCAUCGAAAUGAUGAUAAAAUGGUGUCCACUUGAGGUGGUUUGCCUCCGUUGCUUUCCUCGUUGAUACUUGCAUGGUGCAUGACCCUACCUCCUUAUGAGGGUUAUGCCGGUGGGAGUAAGUAGGAUGCUGGAGUAGUUGCUACGCAAAAAGGGACGGGAAUAUGCAUGGUGAUGAAGGCAAAGUAUUUUCAAAAGACUUUUUUGAAAACCCUGUCGGGUGGCACUUAUGCCCGAGGGAGAUAAUGAGUGGGGUAACGACGAAGUGGUGUACUAAGGCAAGUGUGUGUGUUGUUUUUGAAAACGGAUUAGAUUUAAGAUUUGUCGACUGUCCCAACCUUACAUGCGCAACCACUCUACCCUUAUAUGGGAAAGGGCAUUAUUGAUUACCUAGGCCGAUACUAGCUUGGAGCCCGCAUUACUAGUGACGGGGGAGAGUUGGUGCUCUCUCUCGGGACGGGGUCGUGCCAGGUAGGGCGGCCAUGACUGUUUUUACUGGGCACCGGACACACCGUUGGUACCCCGUGCUUGUGGUAUGUGAUAAAUAUGGGAGCGAGGCUCCGCAAUUUUAAGAUGUGAAAUGGUGGGCACGGGGGUUACUACCAAUCGAGUGGACUCUAUGUUAGUGUCGUCUAGGGAAAGAUAGUGAUCGGGUGCUUACCCCGGGCACUUGAGGUACCGCAGGUCGUGGAUGACACAGAAGUUCCCCGGAUCUUGUGGGUAAAGUGUGCAACCUCUGCAGAGUGUAAAACUAUUCGAAUAGCCGUGUCCACGGUCAAGGACAGUUGGCGGUGCUGUUUAAACUACGUCCAGAGUUUUACAAACCGUGUGUGUGUGUUGAUAAAACUAUUUGGGGUAAAGUCAGAUGACUUGACACAAUGAUGAAGUUGGAUUGGUGUCCAACGCUGUUUAUGUUGAUAUCUGUAACUUGUUCAUACGGAUAUCUGUACUCUCAUGAUGCAUACUUUACAGGUUGAUUGAUCAUGUCAUUGCACUCAAAACUAGCUUUCUGCAAACUACCUACUUAGUGCUAUAUCAUUGCAUUAUUGUGCCUUGUUCCAAUCAUGGGUUGCUUGCGAGUACAUUCAAAGUACUCAUUGGCUUGCCACUGGUUAUUUAAUUGGCCAGGCAUGGAAGAAAAGGAGUUCGAAUAAAAGUUCUUUGGAGACGAACAUGCGAACUAGGUCGUUUCCCAGUCAGAAUGCCUGUAGGGCUAAGGCAGAUGGCAUGGGUUCUACUUAUCGACGAAGAUUUCCGCUGCUUAAGUUUAUUUGGUAUUCAGCCCUUGUGGUUUUAUCUAUGUAAGACUUGACCAUAAUGGUCAUAAUUUGUGUAAGACGGUAUGUAUGGAUGUAAGACUCUUGUUAUUCAGCUUCUCUGUGUUCAGUGAGUAUUGAUCUCUGGGAUCACUGCACACGUGCAUUCGGUGAUCAUGACUUAUGAGCCAGGGUCCCCACACGCCCGCCUGGUGUCGAUCGUCAUGGCUCAUGUCACGAGAGCCUCGCGAGGUUCUCCCUGCCUUGAUAUCUCCGCUCCUCACGAGGCAGCCUGGUGAGUCCACUCCUGAGGAGGUCUUGCGUCGUCCGCCUCAUGAGGCUUGGCCCCUCGCGAGGGUCUUGAAUGCCUUGUUGAUGAUGAUGGGCCGUACAGACCUGGCAGCACAGCCACGCCAUGGGCCGCAGGCAGGCAAGUCUGGGGACCCCCAUUCCUAGAACGCCGACAGUAGCCCCCGGGCCCAAGGUGCGCUCGGGCUUGGCUUCGAGGCGAAGCGAAAGGAUCAAGCGCGGAGCGCCGUGGGCCCCCAAAAGCCUGCGGCCUCGGUUGACGCAUGGCGUUUGAUUGGUCGUGGGCGUCUCCGCUUCCCCAUGUCACCUCGACAACUGCUCGAUUUGACAAGUACGUGCGACAUGCAAGGAAAAUCAUCAUUACAUGUGAUCGUGGGAGGUGCCGGUUGGCCUUCUUCCGCUAUAAAUGGGGAGGGGGGCGGAGCCCCCGUCGCCCAUAUCUUCUUGGUUCACUUGCUUCUUCCUCCUUUCUCCACCGCUUGCACCAAUGGCGCCCAUCCGAAGGUUCUCCGCCGAAGAGAAAGGAAAGGCCCCCCGCGAUGAUCCAGAGCCGCUUCCAUCGAAGAAGGGGUCGGUUCACCGUCGCGAUGAAGCGUCGAUGCAGGUGGUGACGAGGCCCUGGUGCGUGCGGCCUCCUCCAGGGUAUCCGCUACCCUUGUACGCACGAGCCGAGGGCUUAGGAGGGCGUAGCGACGAGCGACGCCGCCCGCGCCACGGCCGUGGUCGUCGCGCCGCGGGGACACACGUCGUCACCCCAGGGGUCCAUGCCGCGGACUCAUCGCGUGAGUUCGUGCUGUGGGCGGUGAUGCCACCAAGCACCUGGAUACGCCUCCCACCGUUAUUCACCGCCGAGGUGCCGCCGACGGGUGUUUGCGAACUUUGGCUGCAGCAUGCUGACUGCAACGCCCCGGCAACCGGAGUGGAGAUUGGAACCGUCGCCUCCGGGAAGAUCUUCAUGACCCGAGGCUGGGGUGAGAUUGCCCGGGUCUGCCAUGCGGAGGGCGCCCUCGCGAUCCACUUCGAGUAUGAUGGCGCUUCCGUGCUGUUCUUCAAGGUCUUCGACGAGGAAGGCUGCCGCCUAGAGUGCUGCCCCGAAGGAGGUCACCAGGACGAUGUCGCGGUGGGCGCGUGGCCCUCCACUGGUCUAGCCUGCAGCUCCUCCAGUGACAGCGGCGACUCGUGGUGGUCCAGCGACUCUCCUGAGCCCUUGAAGUCUCCGGAGACGAGUGACGACAUCUACGUGCCGCCAAGCUCCAGCCGGGCUCAGAGCAGGGUCGCGGCAUCCAGCCGCCGCCGCUGAUCUGAAUGGGGUCGGCGACGGCCUCCCAUGGCACACUGUUGAUGAUGGCGUCCGCCACGGGAGGGUGUAGAUAGGAUUCCUCUUAGUUCUCGUUCUGGUUCCCUAUGAAGAAUCAUGAAGUACCCCGUGGGGGCAUGUAAAGGGUCUGUAAUGUCUUUUGCGUAUAUAUGGUCCUUGUUAUUGAAUUGCGUGGGCGCAUAUCCUGCCGAGGCUCGACCUCCCCUUUCCAAUCCAGCGGUGGCUUGAUACUCUACGCUGACAGGUCCCGGUCCCUAGGCAGGCUGUAGCCGUCGCUGGUAUGCCAGGUCGUGAUGCUGUGGUCAAGGCCAGGAGGUGAGCGGCCCGAGGUCCAGUAAGAGCUCCUGAGGCGCGAUGCCCAGGAGGUCCCCUUUAGCGCUCAAGUGGCUGCCUUAGAAUGGGAAAGGAAGAGAGUAUCGCCACAGCAGGGCAGCGGAAGGAGUAAGGCCCACUUGGGCUCAGUCUCCCCUUUCUAUCCUCGUGACAGCUUGGUGCUCUACGCUGACAGGUCCCGGUCCCCAGGAAGGCUGCAGCCGUUGCUGGUAUGCCAGGUCGUGAUGCCGUGGUCAAGGCCAGGAGGUGAGCAGCCCGAAGUCCGGUAAGAGCUCCCGAGGCGCGAUGCUCAGGAGGUCCCCCUUAGCGCCGAAGCAACCGUGAAGAGGCAAGAAAGGGAGGCGACAUUGCCGCAACGGAGCCGCUGCGAAGGUCUCGUGUCGUGGCUAUAGGUGGGUUCCGUGUGUGAAUUUAUCUGGUCUUCCUGGAGUAUACUCCUCGUGGCACGCCCGGGCUCGCGCGUUGGUCGCUGUAGCGUAGCCAUGCCAGGCCCGUGCCGGUUUCCCCCUUCCCUCCAUGCUCUUCUUGGUGCUCUGCAUCCUCAGGUCCCAGCCCUCGAGCGAGCUCAGCCACCGCUGGUAUGCCAUGUCGCGAUGUCGUGGUCAAGGCCAGGGGUGAGGGCUAGAGAGCCAGUAAGAGCUCCUGAGACGCGAUGCUCAGGAGCCCCCCUUUUAACGCGCAAGCGAAUCGCAUGAGAGAAGAAGGAGAGUCUGUGGUACCGCCCUCCAUGAUCCUCAGGGAGCCCCUGCAAGUUAACGCGAAGAAGGGCGCCGGACCGUUGGUUUGCUUCUGGAGCGGGCGAGGGGACUCCCUACUGCAGAGAGCCCCCGGGGCGUGUACAGCCCCACCCUGACACGUGGCUGGCACGGUAGCAGGACCGCCGGAGAAGCUUCGACAUGAGGCGGGAGGCCAAAAAGGAAUCGACAACUGCAGGCGGCGGCGGCGGCGAUUUUGGGCAAAAUCAGCGGGAGGCGGAGUUGGGCGGACAACAGGCGGUUGCAUGGAAGGAAAUGGAAAGGCAUUUGGGCGGUUGGCACGCGACCGUGAAUUUUACAUCUCGAGUCGGCGGAGAUGCAAAUUUGCAACGAGAGGUGUUCUAUUUUACAUCUCUGGGAGUCGGAGAUGUAAUUUUUUUUGCAUCUACAUCAUCUGUUGAAGAGGCGGUUUUGGGCUCUAAAGAUGCAAAACUUAGGUAAUUUUGCAUCUACAUUUUCUAUUGGAAAUGCUCUGAAUAAUAAAAAAUAAUUCUCAUACAUGUUGUGGUGGACCUUUGAUGAUGUGGCAUGUGUGCAUGUUAAGAUUAAAAAAACACUAGUAAGGAUGUGAACUAUUUAGGUAUAUAGGAUAAGUUUCAAUCUCAUAUUAUUGUACGUAUUGAUUAUGCAGAUUUGAGGAACGUUUCAAAUUUGUCAAAACCACUAACUAUGGAAUGUUUGACUAGGCCAAACAUAAAUAUGAAUUAAUAGGAUGUUAUAUUUAGCGUAUUUGAUGGGGCGGUUGAUGGAAUGAUAACUAGGAACAAAAUAAAUGCAAUUAAAAUACGAUUUUCUUUGAUUUCGUUGGACAACAUAUAUAAUACACGGCCAGGGCCUCAGUCUGCACGCACUUCCCCAUUCCUCAUUUUCCUAUAUCGAUACUACAAUUUAUAAGCAACAGUUAGCCAUGGCCAUCCAGCAUCUGCUCCUCAUCGUCUUUCUGGCUUCCGUCCUCCAAGCGACCACCUCCGACACAGCGUACGACCUUUUGGAGAAAAACAAAUUCCCGCGGGCUCUCCUGCCUCAGGGUGUGAAGUCGUACGUGAAUCAUGGAGGCGCCGUUGAGGUGACCCUCCCCGCCUCCUGCGACUUCAACGUUACGGUUGCCGGUGGAUCACACAAGAUUCGGUUUGACAGCAUAGUCAGUGGGGUUAUCCAGCCCGGAUCCAUAACUCAACUGGGCGGCGUGAGGAUCCAGUUUGAGUGGGAUUUUCUUGCAUUCCACACGGUUCAACGCGUCGGUGACAAGCUCAGGUUUACUGGUAGUGAGCAUGCAGCCACGUUCGACCAGUCAUUUCCGGUUAGCAACUUCGUGCAGAGCCCCAGGUGCAGCUAAGGGCCUGAUUGAUUAGGGAUGCAUCGCACGCAUGCUUUACUAUAAAUGUAUGCAAUAUGCAUGUGUCUUUGUGAGUCCGUUGCUUUAUGUAGAAUGAAUAAAUUGAUUAUGUAAUCAGUCAUGGUUCCAAGACCUAAUAUUAUUGUGAUGAUCAUUUUUUGCCCAGUUAUUUAUUGUAAGAUGUUGCAAUGGUUCCUCCUAACCACAGGAACUAGAAAUUCCACAUGAUAUACUCUGUCGGAGUC